GAUCUGGUCUGAAACUGAAGUAUGCUGAAGAUGCCUUUUGCACUCUGGAAUUUAAGGGCCGUGUUGCAGGCACAAUUUGUUUGUCUGUGCUGGAGACCAGAGGGGAAGCUGUCUUUAAAAGGACGAGGCUCUUUUACCAUAUGUGAAGUUGCCUAUUCAGGUGCUUUUUGGGCACCAGUUUGGAGAUGGGAGACAGACGAAGUCAAAGAAGCAGAG